rnacentral:lncRNA from 1 species
AAAAAGGCUGCCCACAUGAUCCGGGCCGCGGCAGCAACGCUGGUUGGCUGCGCCUCCCCCUGCUCGGUCCGGAGCUCACACCCGCGCCCGCGCCUCCUGCCAACCCCGCGCCCCGCGCAACACGCCCAGGCGGAGCCCCCCUCGCCCACGUCCACGUUCACGCGCGCGGUCUCGCGCAGUGGUGAGGCUGCUGUUGGGUCGCCUCUGCUGUCGGCUUUACACGCAGGUCAUUAACGAGGGGGCGUGCCCGAGGAGAUUUUUCCCAUAAAGCAUUUUUCUUCUUUUUUUUUUCCUCUCUUUUGCAAAACUGACUUUUACCCCUUUCCACUUCUCGCCAGUCGUUUCAAUCUCUCCAGGGCUGCUCGUGCUUCUGCACUCAAGUUUAUUUAUUUUCCCACCUGGGUUGGGGUUUUAGGAUUCGGAUUCUGAUUUUUACCUCUUGUUGCUGCUGUGCCUAAGGAGGGAAAGAGAAGCAGCUGCGGGAGGAUCGGGAAGGUUUUCUGAUGUAGUCAUCAGGGAGGUGCCACUCGCUCGUGCGCGCUCUCUUUCUCUCUCUUUUUUUGUUUUUCCUUUUUUCCCCAUUUCAAACUGAUUGAUGUAUCUCUACAAGUUGCUGGACUUGGGGCCAGCCCCGUCGGAGUCACAGGGACACUUCUGAGAGCUCACCCGGGGCUCUUGGCACCGCGUGUGGGGAAUCAGUCUCGCUCCCGGAAGGCGAUCGGAGACUGACAUCAGCCCAUCCCGGAGUUGGAGGGAUCCUUUUGAAAGUGAUUGUUUCCCCUCCCGCUCUCCAGCAGAACAGUUGGGUUGGCGUCGUCUUGCAGGUUUGGGAAUCCCAGCUCCGCCGGGCUGGCUGGUUCAUAACCUCUACUCUUCAUUCACUUUGGUGCACCCACACCCGGCCAAGAAAAGCACACAGGAGAAAUCCCUGAGACUCGGCCACUGCCCGGGGUGCCGACUCCCGCUGCCGCUGCAGUCCGACUCCACUAGGGACCUGCGGGAAGACUCGAAGAGCCAAACUUUUCUUUGAGGUUUUCGAGGCAAGACCGCUCCUCGCCAGCGCAGCUGCCGGUUAACCAGUUCCAGGACGCCGGCGGGGCUGGGUUUGCGGCUCCAGAUCCCCACCCUUCUCGGCAAGCCGCCCGGUACCGCAGUACCAACUACUCCUCCGAGAUUUCCAGGGGUCUCCCGGCUAAGGCACAGAGGAGGCUGGGGAAAGCUCUCAGACUUCAGGGGCCACAAGCGUCCAGCCCCCUAUCUACACGGCGCCCUCCUUUUGCAGUUUCCCUCCCGCCGCCAAAGUAACUUGGAGCUAAGCGGGUCGCAGUGCAAGGGCCCCGGGCGUUUGCGAAGCCUUACGCAGCCCGUGGCGCCGACGCUGAGCUGGGCCCGGCGGGCCGGUGUAUGUCUCCCCUCGGCCACGGCGCGCAACUCCCGGUGACUGUGCAGCGCGCGCCGCCGCCAGUUCCGAAUCGCGCUGCCGCCGCCAGGCCCGGCACGCACCUCCCUCUGCCGGGGUGACUGGCCUGCAGCCGCCCGAGACACAGCUUGGCACCCCUUCCCCCGCCUUUGCCGCUGCUACCACACACACGCACGCUUCUCUCCAUCUUGUCUAAGGAAAAAAGAGGGCUUG